rnacentral:rRNA from 1 species
AUGACAUUCUCUAUGGAUUUGAACGCAUCACCAUUGCCUGAAGAAGAGGAUGAGCAGCCUUAUGAAGAACCACCUGGUGAGGCUGAUUAUGCGCAUGAGGAGGAACAUGUUGAGUCUGCUGUUGCAACAUUGCGAAGGGAGCGUGAAGAGAGGCGGAGGAAAUUGAAGAGAGAGCACCAGGAUGAAGGCUCAAUGCAACACCCUCAGCAGAUAAGGAAUGAUUAUGCACCUCCAACCAAAGUUGGUAGAGGCCGGAUUAAAGAGGCACCUGAGGGUUGGUUGGAUUGUCCUGCAUUUGGUGAGCCAAUAGAUAAAAUCAUACCCUCCAAAGUUCCUCUUGAUGAAACAUUCAAUGAAUCAGUUCCUCCUGGCAAAAGAUAUUCUUCCAAACAAGUAGUAAACAAGCAAAGAAAAGCUGGCCGUGAAAUAGGACUGGUGAUUGAUCUGACUAAUACUUCUCGAUAUUACUCACCAGCAGAGUGGACAAAGCAAGGUACUAAGCAUCUCAAGAUUCCUUGCAAGGGAAGAGAUGCUGUACCAGAUAAUGAAUCUGUUAACACAUUUGUCUAUGAGGUGAUGAUGUAUCUUGAACGACAAAAGCAUACCAAAACUCCCAAGUAUAUUCUAGUUCACUGUACCCAUGGUCAUAAUCGUACAGGUUUCAUGAUUAUUCAUUACCUCGUGCGUACACGCAUCUCUUGUGUUGCUGAGGCAAUACGUAUUUUUGCUCAAAGGCGACCUCCUGGUAUAUAUAAGAGGGACUACAUUGAAGCAUUGUAUUCAUUUUAUCACGAGGUUCCUGAGAAUAUAAUUGUAGCAUGCCCUUCAACACCAGAAUGGAAGAGGCCUUCCGAUCUUGAUCUAAAUGGUGAAGCUAAGCCAGAUGACGAUGAUGACAACGGUGAUGUUUCACCAGUACAUACAUCCUCUUGUAUCUUGCAGAAUGAUGUAGAGGAGAAAGUCAUCACUAAUGAUGAUGUGCUGGGAGACGCUGUACCUUUUGAUCAGCAAGAGGCUCUGCGGAUCGUAUGCUAUCGUUUGCUUGAACUUCCCCCUGCGAGAGGGCAUGCACAAUUUCCAGGAUCACACCCAGUCUCUCUUGACAGUGAUAAUCUGCAGCUACUUAGACAGCGAUACUAUUAUGCUACUUGGAAAGCUGACGGAACCCGAUAUAUGAUGCUUAUAAUGAGGGAUGGUUGUUUCUUGAUUGAUCGGAAUUUUUGCUUUAGAAGAGUUCAGAUGCGCUUUCCCCAUAGGAACCUGAAUGAAGGUCCACAUGAUAUGACAUUGAUUGACGGGGAAAUGAUUAUAGAUACAGUACCUGAUUCAGGAUUGAAGAGGAGGUACUUGGCGUAUGAUCUGAUGGCACUUGAUUCAGUGUCCAAGACAAAGUUGCCUUUCUCUGAGAGGUGGAGAUUAAUUGAAGAUGAAAUAAUCCGGCCACGUCAUAACGAGAGAAAAAUGUUUGAGAGUGGUGCUAAGAGCAAUCCAAUGUACAAAUAUGAUAUGGAGCUAUUUUCGGCCCGGAGAAAGGAUUUCUGGCUUCUGCAUACAGCAAAAAGGGUACUGAAGGAGUUUAUCCCAUCACUUUGCCAUGAUGCUGAUGGCCUGAUAUUUCAGGGCUGGGAUGAUCCUUAUGUAACUCGCACCCAUGAAGGUCUUCUUAAGUGGAAAUACCCUGAAAUGAAUUCAGUUGACUUUUUGUUUGAGGUUGGCAAUGAUAAUCGCCAGCUCGUUUUUCUUUACGAGAGAGGCAAAAAGAAACUCAUGGAUGGUUCUCGGAUGGUAUUUCCAAAUGGAGAAGAUCCAUCAUCUAUCUCUGGGAGGAUUGUUGAGUGCUCUUGGAAUAAGGAACAACAGUGUUGGGUCUGCAUACGCGUUAGAUUCGAUAAAUCGACUCCUAAUGAUAUCAACACAUAUCGCAAGGUAAUGAGGAGCAUCACAGACAAUAUAACCGAAGACAAGCUUCUAGAAGAGAUCACUGAGAUAAUUUCCCUCCCGAUGUAUGCUGAUAGGAAGAAGGCUGAUGAAAGGAUGGCCCAUGCAAAGAUGGCACAACAUCGGCGGAGAGGGCAGAUGCCACCACAGUAG